UCCCUCUUUUUCUCUCUUUUUCCUUCCUUAUUUUUCUUAAAGCGCGCGCAGGUGGUUUCUUAAGUCUGAUGUGAAAGCCCACGGCUCAACCCUGAAUCGGCCGUCGAUACUCCCGGGCUCGAGCACUGUAGAGGCAGAUGGAAUUCCGGGUGUAGCGGUGGAAUGCGUAGAGAUCCGGAAGAACACCGGUGGCGAAGGCGGUCUGCUGGGCAGUUGCUGACACUGAGGCGCGACAGCGUGGGGAGCAAACAGG
rnacentral:rRNA from 1 species